rnacentral:snoRNA from 1 species
GUCUUACACUUGAUCUCUGAACUUCAGGUAAGUUUAUAUGUUGACAAGUUAGUUCACAUUACUGAUGCU